rnacentral:tRNA from 9 species
GCAGUGAUAGCUCCAGCGGUAGAGCACUUGGUUGAAGCCCUCGGUGUCGGUGGUUCGAAUCCACCUCACUGUACCA